AAUAAAUAUUCAUCAGUGAAAAAAAAAAUAAUGUCCAGAUGUUUUACUAUGCUUUCUCCUGAAAAAGUCAAAUAUAUCAUUGCAGAAUCACGCUAUCACUCAAUUCUUUGAAUUGUAUCAUUCAAAUGGUUUUGGCUGUAAAAAUUGUCUGUAAUGGUAUAUACCAUGGCACAAAUAUGUAACUAUUUCACUUGACCUUUCAAGCCAUGCAAUGACUUUUAAGCUUGCUCAAUAAGAGAUAAAAUAAAUCACACACAACAGAAUAUGCAUACAUACUCAUGCUUGUAUGAAAGUAAUUUUAAUAGCAAUGCACAAGGAAAGAUUUUACAUUUUUUAAUUUUAAUCAUCAAUAUGCACAAAAUUGAAAUUAAAUAUAGAGCUAAAACAUAUCCAGGUGAUUCAGGCUUUCUGCAUUUUCACUUAAAAUUCCAUGAUAUAUGAUGCAAAUAUAUUUUCAAGCUCAAUCCAUUGUUGCACUGCAAUGCAUUUAAAAUUUGUUUUAGCAUGACAUAAACCUAUAGUCAUAGAAGAGCAUGAUUGUUAAUUUAAGGCACACUGUCUUUGUUUCUUAUUAUGCUAGGAGUUUUUAGGGACUGGGCAUUAAUGCACACAUAUUUAGGUUUUACGUAUGUAUGUUUUACCUAAAAUAUUUGCACUUGAUCUUAGCCAAAAGGCCGAGAAGUGAUUUUACCUAAAAUAUUUGGAUUCAAAAUUCUUACAUGUGAAUUUCUUCCACAUUUCUUAUUACUGAUAUUCUUUAACGAAAGUUUAGAGUGAAUUUUUGUUUUAUUUUCCAGGGUUUGCUAGCUACCAAUUAUCUUCAGGAAUUUCAGUGAUAGACACCAAUAUACUGAUUUUCACAGAUUUGAGACACUUUAUUUUCUGUCAGACUCUAAAGGCAAACUGGGUUUCUGCCUAUUCUUGCAUAAUUAUAUAUUGUAGACAUAAAUAACAUAAUAUCCUAAGUGGCUUUGGAGAUGCUUCAAAGUAGAUGAUCUUUUCUGUCCUCUUUACACUGAAAUGAAUGUGGACAUGACUGCAUGCUAAUUACUUUUCUGGAAGGAUAGAAUAUUUCAGGCAUAGUGGUCCAUCUGUGAAUGAACAUUUUUCUUUAACUUUUAUGUGUAUUUCCAGGGUUUAGAAGAUAUUCCCCAAAUUAAUAAUUUAUUAUACAUUUCCCAAAUCCUAAAAUGCUAGAGACUGUAGCUAAUGACUCAUUCACUGAACAUUUAUUUGGUAUUGACUCGAUGCCAAGCACUGUUUUAAGUGCUUGGUGAAAGUGUAGGAGACUUUAUUUUAUGGGUGCUUUCUUUCUAGUGAGUAAAAAUAUCUCUCCAAAGUAAAUAUCACUCAAAUAGAAGUGAUAUACAGAUAAAAUAAAAUAGGGUAAUGUAAGAAGAACAAUGGAGGUGAAACUUAUUUAGGCAGCACGGAGAUGAUCCCUAUGAAGAGCAGUGUUUGAGCUGGGACUGGAGGGAGAAGAGUUAAAAAUGGGAAAAUCUCAGAGAGGUGUAUUUUAGGCAGACAUGUCAAGUUCAAGGUGCUCAAGAUGCAAUGAAAGACUGAAGAAAGGCCAGUGCUCCGGGUGUCUGGGGAAGAGUAGUGUUAUGGGAUGCUGUGGGAAAAGUAUGAACAAUGUGAGCAAGCUCUUCCUUGUGGAACACGGCAUGGCUUUGAAUUUUAUGCAGAUAGUCAUGGAAUCUCAUAGAAAAUAGCUUCGUCAUUAUGUGAUCCAACUCUGUCGUGAAAGUUGCUACUCACCUAAUCCAAACAUUCAAACUAUUCGAUUCAGUGCCAAACCAACGUGGGAGUCUCUUGACAUUCUAUUACAAAUGCUCAGUACAAUCAAAUAUUUGUUAAAAUAAGCGUACUUCCAUAUCAUACUCCCAUCUGAUAUUGUUACUUUUAAAAUAGUAUGUUGUAUUUACUUAGAAGUAAGUAUUUUAUUUAUAGUGUCAGUCCAUUUUCUUUUACCUUACUUUCCAUCAUCCUUUACUAAAUUGUAUAAUUACGAAGGUAAAGCUAAAGUUGCUCCAAUAUUAAGUAUCAUGCUCUUACAGAUGGUGUUCAUAUCUUAGCUUGGUGACCAAUGGACCACAAAAAAAGACUCUGAGAGGGUAUGGCAAUUAAUAUCAACAGAUUAUACUUUGAAGGAAAAUACGAACUUCAGAGAACUUUCACACCAUUUGAUGUUACCAGUGUUUUGGAUCUUGGCCAUUUUUAACAGCUGCAAAUCUACUCUGGUGCUAUAUCUAAGGUCUUUGGUCCAUUUUAAAUCAAGCUGGUAUUGAGGAGGGCACCUUUUGGGAUGAGCACUGGGUGUUGUAUGGAAACC